rnacentral:rRNA from 1 species
CCUACGGGAGGCAGCAGUGAGGAAUAUUGGUCAAUGGGCGAGAGCCUGAACCAGCCAAGUCGCGUGAAGGAUGAAGGAUCUAUGGUUUGUAAACUUCUUUUAUAUGGGAAUAAAGUGAGGAACGUGUUCCUUUUUGUAUGUACCAUAUGAAUAAGCAUCGGCUAACUCCGUGCCAGCAGCCGCGGUAAUACGGAGGAUGCGAGCGUUAUCCGGAUUUGUUGGGUUUAAAGGGUGCGUAGGGGGGUUAUUAAGUCAGCGGUGAAAGGUUUGAGCUCAACCAUAAAAUUGCCGUUGAACCUGGUUGACGUGAGUAUAUUUGAGGUAGGCGGAAUGCGUGGUGUAGCGGUGAAAUGCAUAGAUAUCACGCAGAACUCCGAUUGCGAAGGCAGCUUACUAAACUAUAACUGACACUGAAGCACGAAAGCGUGGGGAGCAAACAGGAUUAGAUACCCGAGUAGUC